rnacentral:rRNA from 1 species
GACGAACGCUGGCGGCGUGCUUAACACAUGCAAGUCGAACGGAAAGGCCCUGCUUUUGUGGGGUGCUCGAGUGGCGAACGGGUGAGUAACACGUGAGUAACCUGCCCUUGACUUUGGGAUAACUUCAGGAAACUGGGGCUAAUACCGGAUAGGAGCUCCUGCUGCAUGGUGGGGGUUGGAAAGUUUCGGCGGUUGGGGAUGGACUCGCGGCUUAUCCGCUUGUUGGUGGGGUAGUGGCUUACCAAGGCUUUGACGGGUAGCCGGCCUGAGAGGGUGACCGGCCACAUUGGGACUGAGAGACGGCCCAGACUCCUACGGGAGGCAGCAGGGGGGAAUAUGACACAAUGAGCGGAAGCCAGAGGCAGCAACGCCGCGUGCGUGAUGACGGCCUUCGGGUUGUAAACCGCUUUCGCCGGUGACGAAGCGUGAGUGACGGUAAUGGGUAAAGAAGCACCGGCUAACUACGUG